GCUUACGGCCAUACCACCCUGAACGCCCCCGAUCUCGUCCGAUCUCGGAAGCUAAGCAGGGUCGGGCCUGGUUAGUACUUGGAUGGGAGACAGCCUGGGAAUACCAGGUGCUGUAAGCC
rnacentral:rRNA from 15 species